rnacentral:rRNA from 1 species
CUUGAUUACAAGAGUGACGGGCGAUUUGUGCAUGUCUAAUGGCGUUUUCAUUGUAAGUUCUUAUCUUUCUUAUUAAUUAUAGGUCCUCUUUUAAGGUCAUUUCCGUCCCCUCCCAGAUCUAAAUUAAUUUUAAUUUGUAUCCCGCAUCGAAUUUAAUAUUUCCUCUGUCUUGAUUUGUUUUGUUUCUCACAGAAUUAAAAUUAAUAAUAAUUUUUUAAUUUUAAAACAAUGAUAUAGAGGGUUAAAAUAAAAUUAAUUAUAAUCGUGGGUUAUCUAUUACCGUGUAGGAUCCCCUAUUUUGAUAAGACACCGCCAUAUCUCUUAGAUUUUUUUUUAAUAAAUACUUUCUUCUCUAAAUUUAAAG